ensembl:snRNA U6 U6 spliceosomal RNA
GUGCUCUCUUCAGCAGCACCUGUACUAAACUUAGAAUGAUACAGAGAAGAUAAGCAUGACCCUUGUGUAAGGAUGACAAACAAAUUCAUGAACAUUACAUAUAUUG